GAAAGGCCUAAGGGUGGUUUAAAGGGGGGGGUAGAAUUUCCAGGGGGGGCCAGGGAAAUUGGUAGAGAAAGGGGAGGAAUUACCGAUGGGGAAGGCAAGCCCCCUGGGAUAACACUGACGUUCAUCACGAAAAGCGUGGGGAGCAAACAGGAUUAGAUACACCUGGUAGUUCACGCCCUAAUAGAUGUCAACUAGUUGUUGGUGAUUCAUUUCCUUAGUAAUGUAGCUAACGCGUGAAGUUGUCCGCCUGGAGAGUACGGUCGCAAGAUGAAAACUCAAAGGAAUAGACGUGGAACCGCACAAGCGGUGGAUGAUCUGGAUUAAUUUGAUGCAACGCGAAAAACCUUACGUGACCAUGACAUGCCACUAACGACAGCAGAGAUGCGUUAGGUGCUCGCAAGAGAAAGUGGACACAGAUGUUGCAUCACUGUCGUCAGCUCGUGUUGUGAGAUGUUGGUGUAAGUUUCGCAUACGAGCGCAACCGUGGUCUAUAGUUGUUUCGAAAGGGCACUAUAGGAGAGUCUAGAGAGGACAACCCGGACGAAGGGAGGAAGGAGGUCAAGUCGUCAAGUCCUCAUAUGCGUAAGGGGUAGCACUUCACACAUCAUGCAAUGGCACAUGCAGAGCAAUGCCAAGACGUGAGGUGGAUCUCAUAACAGAAAUUGUAUUGUAGUAUGGAUGUUAGUAUGUAACUCGACUAGGAGAAGCAGGAAUUGGUAGUAAUCGCGGAUCCGCAUGCCGCGGAGAAUACGUUCCCGGUUUUUGUCCCCACCGCCCGUCACACCAUGGGAGUGGGCUUUACCAGAAGUAGUUAGCCUAACCGCAAGGAGGGCGAUUACCACGGUAGGGUUCAUGACUGGGGUGAAGUCGUAACAAGGUAGCCGUAUCGGAAGGUGCGGCUG
rnacentral:rRNA from 1 species